GCUGCUGGUGCGGGCGCAGGGAGCGUGAAAAGCUCUCGGACGCCCUUGCGCGCACCUGUAGUCUCUCUCCUUGUACGUACCUUGCAUCCCUAAGAUGCUGCAAUGGAGUGGCUAUCUGUAAGGAGAGGGAUCCCAUCCACGCCCACAGCCACCCGCGGGAGGUGCGGAGGGCAGAGCCGGGCUCUGCUCAGCGCGGCCCUGAGGCGCAGCGCGGUACCCAGGAGCUGCUCCUCCCCCGGCCCUGGGCGCACGUAGGGGCGCGGGUCCACGUGCUGCUCGUUAACUCAUCAUUAGGCUCGGAGUCACCAGCUGCUGACAGAAGGGUGCGAGGCGCGGGUUCCUCCUCCCGGUGCUGCUGGCAGUUAUUUGCGUGCUCGGGAAGCUGCUGGCACGUUGCGAGGGAAGGGAUCGUGCCGUUCCGCAGCGCUGUGCCCUCGGGCGGUGCGCGCUGCCAGCAGGGCUGCCGGCCGGCUCCCACCUGCCGUGUGACUCCGGCUUUCAGGUGCUUUAUGAACUUCAGCACGAGCGAUGCGAAGGACAAAGGCGCAGAGCAUAAGUGGUGCGUGCUGUGGGUAAAGCGCUGCCGAUAAAGGCUGCGUUUGGUUUUUGCCCUCUAAAGGGAAGGGAGCUUUCAUCUGUGGAGCAGUUGCUUGCAGGGGCUGCAGCUGCACCCGAGUCCGUUUCCAAUUGAGGUGGUUGGAGAUGGAGGAGAUCGUCCUGCUGGAGCAUGCUGGAUUUAUUCGGGAAGGCACCAGAGCUGCACAUGCAAAUUGCCACCGAACAGCCGUUUGUCUGCAUGCAGGCAGAGCGCAUCUUUAUGUGGGGACUUCUGUAAUGAGGAGCUGGGAUGGCACCAGGCAGUGUUUUUAAAGCAGGGUAUGGAGUCAUUGUUUCCACCUUUGGGAGGAAGGUUGGAGCCUCGUCAUCUGCUUCAAGGACCUGCGUAGGUCAGCACUGCAUUUUAUACAGACUGUUUGAGAUACAGCUCUCCUUUACCGGGACAAUAAAGUGAGUACAAAAGGACUAGCAUAGGAAAACCUCUUGUGGCACUCAGAAGAAAAAUCAAAAUGAAGAGCUGUUGUAGAUUUUAUAUGCAGUGCGUGUAGCCCUGCUCCACAAAGGCAGGUGUCUGUCAUUGCUAACUAGUGAGAUGCAGUGACUGCUCUCAGAGGGGCUGGAUGGCAGGGAUGCUACGUGUGAGUCCCAGCCUGGCAGCUGAGGCAUUAAAGCACAGGUAACACAACUCAGGCUAUCUGUGCACACGGGGCUGAUGUUGCUCUUUGACUCCAUUUCCUUCUAGUGAGUUUGUAUUGCUUCUGAUGUGUGUGAGAGCAAGUGCAGCCUUCCUCUCUUGUAGCUCACGUUAAUGCCACUCGCUUGGGUUUGCUCAAUACCCGAGCACCACUAACAUAAAAACAAUUUUGGGGUUGGUUUCAGAACUGCUUGCAAUACCAAAUGGCACAAUCAGAUGUUCCUCCACACCUUCCUCAGCUUCUGCUUCCAGGGUGGCAGCUGAAAACCAUGCUCUCUUUUCCCUUUUUGCUCACCAAGAAUGUUCUGCCCAUCUUAGGAAUUCUGUAUUUCUUUUAAUGUUACUUUUUU